rnacentral:rRNA from 1 species
GACGAACGCUGGCGGCGUGCCUAAUACAUGCAAGUAGAACGCUGAAGGAGGAGCUUGCUUCUCUGGAUGAGUUGCGAACGGGUGAGUAACGCGUAGGUAACCUGCCUGGUAGCGGGGGAUAACUAUUGGAAACGAUAGCUAAUACCGCAUAAGAGUAGAUGUUGCAUGACAUUUGCUUAAAAGGUGCAAUUGCAUCACUACCAGAUGGACCUGCGUUGUAUUAGCUAGUUGGUGGGGUAACGGCUCACCAAGGCGACGAUACAUAGCGGACCUGAGAGGGUGAGCGGCCACGCUGGGACUGGGACACGGCCCAGAAUCCUGAGGGAGGCAGCCGGAGGGAACCUUCGGGGAUGGAAGGAAGUCUGAACGAGGAACGCCGGGUGAGUGCAGAAGGGUUUCGGAUCGUAAAGAUCUGUUGUAAGAGAAGAACGAGUGUGAGAGUGGAAAGUUCACACUGUGACGGUAUCUGAACAGAAAGGGACGGCUAACUACGUG